AGUCGAGCAGGAGACAGAGAUCACAGGGGCCCUGGGGCAGGUCUCCACUGGCCUCCUCUGCUCAGGAAGGGACGCGGGGAAGAACCAGGGGCCGAGGCCGGGGCCGGGGCCGAGGAGGAAGAAGGCCCACCAGGCAAGGGGAUGAUAGAGAGGAGAACAGACAAGGAAUGGAGAUGGGCACCUGCCCCAUCUGUGCAGGUUGCUUCCGCAUGGAUCUCCUUCCUGCUCAUGCCUCUGCCUGUGGGGAAGAUGACGUCUUUCCAGGCCCAGACUGGUCUUGGGAGAAUCCCCCAUGCCAGGAGCCCCCAGAGGCCUGGGUGCUGUGCCCCAUCUGUGAGCUGCAGUUCAGUAGCAUGGAGGUGGAGGAGCAUGCCAGCACCUGUGGAGAGGAGGCAGGAGCUCUGGACUCUCAGCCGUGGUCCUGGGUUGAAUAGGACCGGGCAGGACAGUUGCAACUUAGGUAGAUCUUCCUGCCUUGCAUUGAUCUGUGCGAGUGAGCACCACACUCGCCAUCCGGCCACUGGGGCUCAAGAGACUUGCCACAGCCAUUGUGGGCUGUGUGCCUAUCUGAGGCGCAUCUCCGUUGGUCACAACAGGAAUGGGUUUGGCCCUAGCGUGUUCUCUGCUUAUCCAGGUUGGGAAGCAGAUCCUCCUGUCUUCAGGCAGGCAUGUUCAGGCUUCCCUGGACUGUGCAGCUCCUGGUUUUGAAGGCAAUGGCUGCUUGCGUUUGUCUUGGGGCAUGAGCUGGAAUCUGGACUUCUCCCAGGCAAGAGGUUUCUGUUCUAAAUCCCUAGGCUCCAUCCUGCAGGGGCAGUCAAUGGGUGUCGGGGCUGGCACAGCCUGGAAGGAAUGAUAGUAUAUCAACCAGGUGCCUAUCCCUCACUGGUGUUGGUCCCUGUGGCUCUGAUGCAGACGGCUGGAGGGUUAGACUUGGUCAUGUGUGCUGAAGUCAAGUGAGGUGAACACCAUUGGCCCUGACUGAGACCAGUGGCCUCCUUUUCGCUUAUGAGGCAAGUUGUUGAGUUUCAUCUGAACACCUUGGAUCGCCCAGCUCGGUCCUUGGAUAAAAGGAGGGACAUGCCCUCGCUGUUAGUAAAGAAGCCUUUCAGUUCCUUGCUCAGAUCCACCUCCCUUGGGCAGUGAAGCCUGUAAGGGGCUUUGGCUUUUGUGUGCAAGCAGCCACGUCUCUUCUCCAAGCCCCCUUGGAAACAACACACGUGACGGGGUGUGAAUCUAGCAGCUGCCCUGCCAUUUGUGUUGCAUCUCUGUCCAGCAAAUGCAAUAAACUGUUUUUCUUGCUGGG